rnacentral:rRNA from 1 species
CAAUAGCGUAUAUUAAAGUUGUUGCAGUUAAAAAGCUCGUAGUUGGAUUUCUGAUCGGAACAGCCGGUCCGCGUUUACGUGAGAACUUGUGCUGUUCUAAUCAUCCUUGCGGAGAACGUACUCUGAGAUUGAUUUCUUGGGGAUUGAUUUCUUGGGGUCGGGACCCGCAUCUUUUACUGUGAAUAAAUUAGAGUGUUUAAAGCAGGCUUUCGCUUUGAAUACUACAGCAUGGAAUAACACGAUAGGACUCCGAGCCUAUUCUGUUGGUCUUCGGGACCGGAGUAAUGAUUAAGAGGGACAGUUGGGGGCAUUCGUAUUCCGAUGUCAGAGGUGAAAUUCUUGGAUUAUCGGAAGACGAACAUCUGCGAAAGCAUUUGCCAAGGAUGUUUUCAUUAA